CUGCUUUGAAAUGAGAAAACCACCUGAAGUCUUUUUCAAAAGUUACUCUUUAAUACUUUUCGUCUGUGGUUAUUACAAAGAUGUCAAGCAUUUAACACAGACCCAAUGAAACAGACAAAAACACAUUCAGUCGGCGGACAGAACAUCACAGACACACAGUAUAAUCUCCCGUUAACUCACAAGGCCACGAACUAAAGAGGGAACGAGUUUGCAGAAUCCCUCUCUUUAUUGACUAAAGUCGUGUUCAUUUCAGUGAAGAUUUUUCAAACCUGCGCUAAGAUGAGCAGAGACGUGUAACACGAGCUGUGACGCCUCACAGGAAACAGGAAGCGGAAACACAGCCUCCGCCGAAGCCAUCCACGUUAUGACGCAACUGAGAAAAGGAGCAGGGAAAAACAGGAAAUGCCUGUGCACUGUUCUCACUGCCUCUGACUAGCUCCCUCCCUUUCUCUCACUCUCUCUUUCUUUCUCUCCUCUCCUCUUCUUUUCUCCCCUCCCCUCUCGCUCUCCUCCCUCCAGGCACACUUCUCCCCACACAUGACUCAUCAGCUGUUUCGCGCACCUAAAAUCCACCGUCCACAGACUCUGAACCAGAGAGGCAGCUGGAACUUCCUCCCACUGCCGGUUGGAGUGCUGCUGCUGCUUCGGGGGGUUGGUCCGAACAGGCCGGUGGUACUCAAAAGGACGGGUCUAACACCAGGC